rnacentral:rRNA from 1 species
GACGAACGCUGGCGGCGUGCCUAAUACAUGCAAGUCGAGCGAACAGACGCGGAGCUUGCUCCUCUGACGUUAGCGGCGGACGGGUGAGUAACACGUGGAUAAUCUACUUAUAAGUCUGGGAUAACUUCGGGAAACCGGAGCUAAUACCGGAUGAUAUAUUGAACCGCGUGGUUCAUUAGUGAAAGACGGUUUUGCUGUCACUUAUAGAUGGAUCCGCGCCGCAUUAGCUAGUUGGUAGGGUAACGGCUUACCAAGGCGACGAUGCGUAGCCGACCUGAGAGGGGGAUCGGCCACACUGGAGGUGAGCCGCGGUCCAGACGACUACGAGAGGCAGCAGUAGGGAAUCUUACGCAACGGGCGGAAGCCUGACGGAGCAGCGCCGCGUGAGUGGUGAAGGUCUUCGGAGCGUAAAGAUCUGUUAUUGGGGGAGAACAAAUGUGUAAGUAACUGUGCACGUCUUGACGGUACCUGGUCAGAAAGCCACGGCUAACUACGUG